rnacentral:rRNA from 1 species
UACGUAGGUGCAAGCGUUAUCCGGAUUUACUGGGUGUAAAGGGAGCGCAGGCGGCACGGCAAGCCUGAUGUGAAAGCCCGCGGCCCAACCGCGGGACUGCAUUGGGAACUACCGGGCUGGAGUGCCGGAGAGGUAGGCGGAAUUCCUAGUGUAGCGGUGAAAUGCGUAGAUAUUAGGAGGAACACCAGUGGCGAAGGCGGCCUACUGGACGGUGACUGACGCUGAGGCUCGAAAGCGUGGGGAGCAAACAGG